GAUGAACGCUGGCGGCGUGCCUAAUACAUGCAAGUCGAGCGAACGGACGAGAAGCUUGCUUCUCUGAUGUUAGCGGCGGACGGGUGAGUAACACGUGGAUAACCUACCUAUAAGACUGGGAUAACUUCGGGAAACCGGAGCUAAUACCGGAUAAUAUUUUGAACCGCAUGGUUCAAAAGUGAAAGACGGUCUUGCUGCCACUUAUAGAUGGAUCCGCGCUGCAUUAGCUAGUUGGUAAGGUAACGGCUUACCAAGGGAACGAUGCAUAGGCGACCGGAGAGGGUGAUCGCCCGCACUGGAACUGAGCCACGGUCCAGACUCCUACGGGAGGCAGCAGUAGGGAAUCUUCCGCAAUGGGCGAAAGCCUGACGGAGCAACGCCGCGUGAGUGAUGAAGGUCUUCGGAUCGUAAAACUCUGUUAUUAGGGAAGAACAUAUGUGUAAGUAACUGUGCACAUCUUGACGGUACCUAAUCAGAAAGCCACGGCUAACUACGUG
rnacentral:rRNA from 1 species